CUGAUUACUGCAAUGCUCACUACAUGAGGCUACACCUUAAAACCAUCCAGACACCGAAUAUGGUGAGGAAUGUGGCAGCUCACAUGGCCAUAUUGCUGCAAUUGCAGUCUGCAGAGGCACCCGAGUUGGAGUCCCCUUACCGUAAGAGAGAGAAAUACUACCAGAGGGAGAUGAAGAAGCCAUAAGGAGCCAGACCUGCAGCCAACACCACAGGAGCUGGACCAGCCACCAGUAGACCACAACUGCACUGAGAUCUACACCCACAACUGCAUUAGGAUUUACUCCCACAACCACCACCACUGCCAUCGAACCCACUGAUGCUGGCCCAGGACCAGUUAUCACCAUGACAGCAGUCAGGGAUAGGAGAAGGAGUACUGGCUGACUGUGAUUAGAUCUAGUAGAACUGAAGAAACAGGAGAGUGGAAGAAAACCCGAUUGGAUGGUAGGGGGACAGGAGAAAGAGCACCAAAGGGCAGGGAACCUGAUUUGGAAGGAGGUGAGGAGAAGCAGCAGUGAUGGGUUUAGAGGAGGGUAGAAUUUUAAGAGGAGAAAGGGGUAGGUGAAUGAGGGAGCAGAGGGAAGGAAAUAGGAGGCUAGAGCAGGAAACUGUAGGCAGAAUGAGAUCAGGGGCAUGUCUGAAAGAGCAAUAGCUGGAACAGAACAGAGUUUUGAGGGGGUGUUUAUGGAGCAGAUCAUGGUCAGAGGAGUACUAAUUUUGAUUACCCCACUGAUUUGCAAAAAAUGGAUUAUGGGGUGAACUGACUGUGAUAGUGUGUAGAAUUGAAUUAGUGGGAGGAAAUUGAUUGUGACUUGGGGAAGCUGAUUAGGUAUAGUGGAGAAAUGAGAACUUAAGCUGAAUAAGAAACUGAAUCUAUACAGGAAGUUUCAGUUUGAUUUGUCCAUGGUAGUGAAGGAAAUUAUGUGGAUGGUUGAGAAGUACUGAAGAAUUGACUUUGAAUGGGAUGAGGAGGAGAGUUGCUUUUGGCCAUGUAGGCAGCCAGUCCAAGCCCAGUGGUGGUGAGUCUCGGUCUAGUGUUGAUAGAGAUGGCAGCCCACACUAAAAAGUAAGCUUCAGAGGCCCCAGUGUAAUUCUUCUAUAUACUAUUGUACCUUGUCACAUGAGUUUUGCCUCUUUUUAAAAAAAAAAAAAAAA